UUGACAGGCUCCCAGACGCCCCAGCGCCCCGCGCCCCCGCCACCGGGUCCGCAGGCCGGUCCGGUCCCUGGGAUGCGCCGGGCGGGCAGCUUCGGCUCUGGCCCGCCAGGAAAGGCCCUGUGACCUUGGCCCGGCUCCGGGUUCGAAUCCGCCUCCUCCACUGGCUGGCUCUGUGACCUUGGGCCGGGCCCCUCGCCCGUGUCCAGGUGACUCACUGGGACGAGAAUGACCCUCCUCGUGGGCUAGGCGGUUCCGGAGGGCGCCUGGAAAGCGCUGGUCCGGGCCGCCGUCGGGUCGGGGACCGCCCUGGGCGCUGGGGUUGCCGCGAACCGGCAGACCUUGCCGUUAGCUUAGAACCCCUGGCCCGGAGGCGCCCUUCCGAGCUCGCCCUCUCCCUGAGGUCCCGUGCAGCCGUCGCCCGGCCUCCCGGUGCCUUUCGACGCUGCACGGUCCCAGGGCGGUCCAGCCCUGUCUCACGACCUCGCAGUCACCCCACCGCACAGGCCACGAACCCCGUCAGACCCUCCCGGGCCUUCCAGUGGGGCCGCUCCGUCUGGACCCUCCUCCUUCCUGGGCCCCUUGCCCAUCAUCAGCAAGCCCCAGCAGAGCACAGGGUGAUACAGUCAAGAGUCCUUCUGGCGCGUGGGGACAGGAGCAGCCUCUCUGAGGAGGUGAGCUGAACCAGAGCCAAUCACCGUCAGAGCAAAGGACUUUCAGCAGUGCGAGACUCAAGCAGGGGAAAGCUCAGCAUGUCCCAGGAGCCAACAAAAGCAAGCCUCUCUACACUUGGAUUCAUCGUGUUUCAAGUACUCAGCAGCCACAUGUGGCUCAUGGCAACCAUAUUAGACAGCAACCUGUAAUUUUUUACUCAGAAACAAAAAUAUCAUGCAAGAAUGAAGGUAAAAUAAUGGCAUUUUCAGAUUAACAAAAAUAGAAUUUAUUGCCAGCAGGAAUUCACUAAAAGAAACACUAAAGGAAAUUCUAUGGGCAAUAGGAAAAUUAUUCCAGAUUGAAAUGGAGGAAUAAAGACCAAAGACAUACAAAUGGUGUGUGUAUAUAUAUAUGCAUAUAUAUAUGACUUUAUAUAUAGAUAUAUGAAUGAUAAUAGUAUGCUAGUAUUUUUUUCAUUUAAAAAAUUAUGGUAAAAUAAUACAAAAUUUACCAUUGUAAUCCUUUUCAAGUGUACAAUUCAGUGGCAUACCUACAUUCACAAUGCUGUACAACCACCACCAUUAUCCACUUCCAGAAUGUUCCACCAUCCCAAACAGAAAGUCUGUACCCAUGAAAUAACAACCCCAGGCCCUGGUAACCUCUACUCUACUGUCUCUAUGAAUUUGCCUAUUCUAGAUACAUCAUGUAAGUAGAAUCAUACAGUAUUUGUACUUUUGUGUCUAGCUUAUUUCACUUAGCAUAAUGUUAUCAUGGUUCAUCCAUGUUGUAAGUAUGUAUCAGAAUUUCAUUCUUCAGGCUGAGUAAUAUUCCAUUGUAUGGAUAUACCACACUUUAUCCAUUCAUCUGUUGAUGGACAUUUGGGUUGUUUCUACCUUUUGGCUGUUGUGAAUAAUGUUGCUAUGAACAUUGGUAUACAAAUACCUGAGUCCCAAGUAUCUGAGUCAAUUCUUUUGGGUAUCUAUCUGGGAGAGAAAUUGUUGGAACACAUGGUAAUUCUGUGUUUAACUUUUUGAGGAGCCACCAAACUGUUUUCUAGAUCAGCUUCAUCAUUUUAUAUUUCUACCAGUAAUGCACAAGCGUUCUAAUUUCUGCACAUCCUCACCAACACUUAUUUUCUGUGUUUCUGAUAAUAGCCAGUGCGUGUAAAGUGGUAUCUGUGGUUUUGAUACAUAUUUCACCCAUGACUAAUGAUGCUGAGUUCCUUUCAUGUGCUUACUGGUUAUCUGUAUGUCUUCUCUGGAGAAAUAUCUAUUUCAGUCCUUUGCCAAUUUUUAAAUUGGGCUGAUUUUUUUGUUCUUGUUGAGUUGUAGGAGCACUUUAUAUAUUCUGGUUAUUAGGCCCUUAUCAAAUAGAUGACUUGCAAAUAUUUCCUCCCAUUCUGUGGGUUGUCUUUUCACUCUCCUGAUAGUAUCCUUUGAUGCACAAAAGUUUUUAAUUUUAAUGAAGUCAAAUUAAUUUUUCCUUUUGUUGCCUGUGUUUUUGGUGUUAUAUAUAAGAAAACUUUGCUAAAUCCAAAGUCAUGAAUAUUUGCCUUCAUGUUUUUUUCUAAGAAUUUUAUAGUUUUAGCUCUUAAAUCUAGGUCUGUGAUCCAUUUCUUCAUUAAUUUUUAUAUACUGUUUAAA